AGUAGUUUGAUCCGUGGCUCGAGGACGACGCUGGCGGCGUGCUUAACACAUGCAAGUCGAACGGGGCGAAGAGGAGCUUGCUCUUCCUAGCCUAGUGGCAAACGGGUGAGUAACGCGUAGGCAACCUGCCCUUCAGAUGGGGACAACAUUUCGAAAGGAAUGCUAAUACCGAAUGACGUGCAUUGGUCGCAUGACCGAUGUACUAAAGGCCGGGCAACCGGUCACUGAAGGAUGGGCCUGCGUCUGAUUAGCUAGUUGGUGGGGUAAUGGCCCACCAAGGCGACGAUCAGUAGCCGGUCUGAGAGGAUGAACGGCCACAUUGGGACUGAGACACGGCCCAAACUCC
rnacentral:rRNA from 1 species